CCCAGACUCCUACGGGAGGCAGCAGUGAGGAAUAUUGGUCAAUGGUCGAGAGGCUGAACCAGCCAAGUCGCGUGAGGGAGGACGGCCCUACGGGUUGUAAACCUCUUUUGUCAGGGAGCAAGGGACAGGUCGUGACCUGUUGUGAGAGUACCUGAAGAAAAAGCAUCGGCUAACUCCGUGCCAGCAGCCGCGGUAAUACGGAGGAUGCGAGCGUUAUCCGGAUUUAUUGGGUUUAAAGGGUGCGUAGGCGGUCCGUUAAGUCAGCGGUAAAAUUGCGGGGCUCAACCCCGUCGAGCCGUUGAAACUGGCAGACUUGAGUUGGCGAGAAGUACGCGGAAUGCGCGGUGCAGCGGUGAAAUGCAUAGAUAUCGCGCAGAACUCCGAUUGCGAAGGCAGCGUACCGGCGCCAGACUGACGCUGAGGCACGAAAGCGUGGGGAUCGAACAGGAUUAGAUACCCGUGUA
rnacentral:rRNA from 1 species